rnacentral:rRNA from 1 species
AUUGAACGCUGGCGGCAUGCUUUACACAUGCAAGUCGAACGGCAGCGGGGAGGAGCUUGCUUCUCUGCCGGCGAGUGGCGAACGGGUGAGUAAUACAUCGGAACGUGUCGAGAAGAGGGGGAUAACCACCCGAAAGGGUGGCUAAUACCGCAUAAAUUCUGAGGAAGAAAGCUGGGGACCUAGGAAUAGGCCUAGCGCUUUUUGAGCGGCCGAUUUCGGAUUAGCUAGUUGGUGAGGUAAAGGCUCACCAAGGCGAAGAUCUGUAGCGGGUCUGAGAGGAUGAUCCGCCAAACUGGGACUGAGACACGGCCCAGACUCCUACGGGAGGCAGCAGUGGGGAAUUUUGGACAAUGGGGGCAACCCUGAUCCAGCCAUGCCGCGUGUAUGAAGAAGGCCUUAGGGUUGUAAAGUACUUUUGUUAGGGAAGAAAAGUCAGCUGUGAAUAAUGGCUGAUACUGACGGUACCUAAAGAAUAAGCACCGGCUAACUACGUG